ACGUGUGUGCUCGACAUCGGUUCUCUCUGAUGACGAUGAACGUUUUCACGGUGUGCUGAUCCCCUCCCUCCCCCUCCAUGUACUGCUCCCGUUUUCACAUGCACACCCAAAAAAGCCUACGCCGUAGUGGUACAGGUAUACAUAUACAUACAUAUAGGCUUCCCGUUUCUGUUUUGGCUCAUUUUCUUUGUUUUUGAUCGCCGACUCUCGCUUGCCUCUCCCCUUCUCCCUCUACCCUCUCUCCCCUCUGUCUGUCUGUUUCCUCUGUUGUUACCGUAUUUCUUUCUCUUGUUUGUUUUUAUGGCCCACAAGAGAAGCACAAGGAACGAUGCCGGGCACGAAAAAAAGCGGUGCUCAGAACUCAGGCAUCUGCAGACACACCCGCACACAUUCCUAUACCACACAUGCUCAUGUGCCAGGCAUGCCGCUUCUAUUCAGGUGCGUACUCUUGCUAUACAAUCUCUAAGGCGCCCCUAUCUACGUGCUUGUCUGCAUCUGGACUUGUGUCUGCGCGCCUGUAUGUGCGUAAAGGAGUGUGCGUGCAUGCGUGUGUCGCCAUAUAUAGUUUUCUGCCCUCUUCUUGCGUUGUUUGUAUACGUCUUUUUCAUUGCCCCCCCCCCCCCCCCCGGUUGUUUGAGACGUCGGGCCCUCCCUUUCGAUCAUCGUCUCGUCUCUUCUUCUAACGUGCCAUUGAGCUUCUUUGGUCUUUCUGCUAUUCUGUCAGAAGCCACAGCCCUCUUAUCCUCCUCCACGUCGCUUUCCUUCCCAUUCUUUCUUGCACUCUCUCGCAUUUCGCUCUUUUCUUUUUUUCCUUGUGCUUGCGGCGUCCCAUACUUCGCACGCGCCCGUACACUUGGUACAGGUAUGUGCGCUUGCUGUUGCACUCUGCUUGUCUCGUUCCUUUUUGCGCACCAUGUUCGAUGUGCAGCGUGUCCCUGUCUCCCUGCAUGGAGGUGUGUGCCGCGCUUUUUCACGCACGUUGCGGGAAGGGAGGCGGAGGGGAGGCAGCAGAGGACAGAGAAAAAAAAGCGAAGAACCGAAAAACGAAGCGGCGGUGGAAUGCAGCAGACAGUCAAACGUGAGCACCAUAAAUGGAGGAUGGCUCACCGUUCUGGGUCUGAUGGCAUUGCCAGCAACAGGUCCAGCAGUGAAUCCGCCAAGCUGAACAAUGAGCGAAGAAAAUCUACCCCCCUCCCUCCCUUCCCCACAUACAUCUAAUUGCACAUAUGCGCUUUUAACUGCUGUCGCAUUCUGACGCGAGAGAGGGUGGAGAGGGAGAAGGGCAAGGGCUGCGUAGCGAGGACACAGACACGCGUGCAAACACAGACGUAUACACACACCUUUCCUACCGGCCUUCUCUCUCCUCUCGCCGUUACCUUCUGCCUUUCAGACGCACAUGCCUACGGCUGUUUAAGUGUAUUCUGUAUUUCUCUUCGUAACGCUCGAGCCGAUAUGACUAGAAGUUACGCAUGCUCUCUCGUCUGCAUGCACAUGUGCUUGUAUGGAGGCGCUGAUCUGUGCACGGACACAGAGGUAUGCGUAUCCCCUCUCUCCCUCUCUCCCUCUCUCCCUCUCUCCCUCUCUCCCUUUCUCCCCCCUCUCUCCCUCGCUCGCUCCUUCGCUCUCUGCCUUUCUUUUGUGUGCAGUUCUGUGGAUGCUCUUUUCUGUUUCCUUUUGCGUUGUCUUCAUAUAUUUAUAUAUGCAUGCAAAUAAAUAUAUGCAUUCAGUCCUUUGCUUUCCUAUCUCUUCGGUUUUUUGUAUUUUCCUGCUUGGAAAACUGCAAACUCUUUUCCGUGCGUGUGUGCCGUCGGCUUUGCUGCUCCCCCUCCCCAAAUGACGCCUGCUCUCUCGUGUCUUUUCUUGAGCAGGAGGAGUAGAGGAGCGGGCGGGAUGCAGAAGUGUAAGAGUGACUGAUGGCUUCCGUUUUUUUUUUUUACCCAGGGUGAGGGUCUCCUCGUUUCCUUUCCGAUAUUGUCCGAUUGCCCGGACAAAACCGCACACGCACCAACACUAGACCUACCAAGGCCGCUCUCUUUUCCGAGGAAAACAGAGGGAGUGGGUGGACACGCGCAGCGUCUUCUAUCUGUGGUUUCUCUCCACACCUCCGUGAGCCGGAGAGAUGACGGCGGAGUAGCGGCGAGGCAAUAUAUAUAUAUAUAUAUAUAUAUAUGUAUGUAUGUAUAGACAUGAGGGAAGAGUGUGGCGCAUGCUACACCAAAAAAGACCCGUGCUUCCCCCCAUGCACUUGAUGGGCCCCUGAUACCGCAAGUAAGCACCCUCUUUGCGCCACCGAUACGUCAUCAAAGCCUCGACCUUCACCUUUUCUCCUCUUCUGCACUAUUUAAUAAGUUCGUCUCUUUCUUGAUGUGGUGACCGGCGCAGGUGUGCAACGCCGCUCGCGGCGCGACAGCACCAAAGUCUCAUU
rnacentral:misc_RNA from 1 species